UGAUCCUGCCAGUAGUCAUAUGCUUGUCUCAAAGAUUAAGCCAUGCAUGUCUAAGUACAAACUAUUAAAUAAAGUGAAACCGCGAAAGGCUCAUUAAAUCAGUUAUGGUUCCUUAGAUCGUACCACAAUUACUUGGAUAACUGUGGUAAUUCUAGAGCUAAUACAUGCAAACAGAGCUCUGACCGGAGACGGAAGGAGUGCUUUUAUUAGAUCAAAACCAAUCGGCGGCGAUAGCAUUUAUUUGUUAUCGUUCGUCGCUCAAUAAAUGGUGAAUCUGAAUAACUUUAUGCUGAUCGCAGGGUCUUGUACCGGCGACGCAUCUUUCAAAUGUCUGCCUUAUCAACUGUCGAUGGUAGGAUCUGCGCCUACCAUGGUUGUAACGGGUAACGGGGAAUCAGGGUUCGAUUCCGGAGAGGGAGCCUGAGAAACGGCUACCACAUCCAAGGAAGGCAGCAGGCGCGCAAAUUACCCACUCCCGGCACGGGGAGGUAGUGACGAAAAAUAACGAUACGGGACUCAUCCGAGGCCCCGUAAUCGGAAUGAGUACACUUUAAAUCCUUUAACGAGGACCAAUUGGAGGGCAAGUCUGGUGCCAGCAGCCGCGGUAAUUCCAGCUCCAAUAGCGUAUAUUAAAGUUGUUGCGGUUAAAAAGCUCGUAGUUGAACUUGUGUCCCGCACUGUCGGUUCACCGCCCGCGGUGCUAACUGGCAUGUUUGCGGGACGUCCUGCCGGUGGAUGUUCAGUAGUCAAUUGGCUUUCGGGUCUUUUGUACUAUUUCAUCCGACUUAUUAAAUCCUAUCGCGGUGCUCUUAACUGAGUGUCGAGGUGGGCCGGCACGUUUACUUUGAACAAAUUAGAGUGCUCAAAGCAGGCUAAUUAAUGCCUGAAUAAUUAGUGCAUGGAAUAAUGGAACAGGACCUUGGUUCUAUUUUGUUGGUUUUCGGAACCCCAAGGUAAUGAUUAAUAGGGACGGAUGGGGGCAUUCGUAUUGCGACGUUAGAGGUGAAAUUCUUGGAUCGUCGCAAGACGGACUAAAGCGAAAGCAUUUGCCAAAGAUGUUUUCAUUAAUCAAGAACGAAAGUCAGAGGUUCGAAGGCGAUCAGAUACCGCCCUAGUUCUGACCAUAAACGAUGCCAGCUAGCGAUCCGUCAAAGUUCCUCCGAUGACUUGGCGGGCAGCUUCCGGGAAACCAAAGCUUUUGGGUUCCGGGGGAAGUAUGGUUGCAAAGCUGAAACUUAAAGGAAUUGACGGAAGGGCACCACCAGGAGUGGAGCCUGCGGCUUAAUUUGACUCAACACGGGAAACCUCACCAGGCCCAGACACUGGAAGGAUUGACAGAUUGAGAGCUCUUUCUUGAUUCAGUGGGUGGUGGUGCAUGGCCGUUCUUAGUUGGUGGAGUGAUUUGUCUGGUUAAUUCCGAUAACGAACGAGACUCUAGCCUACUAAAUAGACGUUACMCUUUCCAGUAUCUCGAAGCUCACAUCUCUCGUUUCUUUACUGCACAUCGCCUAUCAUUUCGGUGAUUGGUGUGUGUGGU
rnacentral:rRNA from 1 species